UACGAAGGGGGCUAGCGUUGCUCGGAAUUACUGGGCGUAAAGCGCACGUAGGCGGCUUUCUAAGUCGGGGGUGAAAUCCUGGAGCUCAACUCCAGAACUGCCUUUGAUACAGCACGUCUUGAGUCCGGAAGAGGUGGGUGGAAUUCCGCGUGUAGCAGUGAAAUGCGUAGAGAUGCGGAGGAACACCGAUGGCGAAGGCAGCCCCCCUGGGCUAGCACUGACGCUCAGGCACGAAAGCGUGGGGAGCAAACAGG
rnacentral:rRNA from 1 species